AAACAUUGCCUUAUGUUAUUAAAUAUAAGGUAAAUUCUGCCCAGUGAGACAUUUAACGGCCGCGGUAUCCUGACCGUGCAAAGGUAGCAUAAUCAUUUGCCUUUUAAUUGAAGGCUAGUAUGAAUGAAUAAACAAAAAUUCCCUUUCUUAUUUUUAACAAUAAAAAUUAAACUAUAUGUGAAGAUGCAUAUAUCAAAUAAAAGACAAGAAGACCCUAUCAAGCUUUAUAUAAAUAUUUAAAGUUAAUUAUCUUAUAUUUUAUUGGGGCGAUACACACUAAAUUAAAACAAUGUAACUCAUAAAGAAUGAUUUUUCAAAAAACUUAUCAUUAAAUACAAGAAAGCUACUGUAGGGAUAACAGGCUAAUAUUUUUUAAGAGCUCAUAUCUACAAAAAUGAUUGGCACCUCGAUGUUGGCUUUGGAUAUCUAUUUUACGAAGAAGUAAAAAAAGAAGGUUUGUUCAACCUUUAAAUUCCUACAUGAUCUG
rnacentral:rRNA from 1 species